rnacentral:lncRNA from 1 species
CUACUUCAGUCGUUAGCGCAACAGAGCUCCCACCUUAUUCUUAUUUGGAAGUUUCCAAGCACCCUGACCCAUAUUAUUGCCCUGACCGGUUGGAGUCUAUAAGCACCUUUCCUUACUACUUACCGCUGGCUCUAAACAGUAAGUUGAGGUCGGAAAUUCCAGUAGUGUUCGAGGUCAAGAGUGCAAAUCCAUUCCAUUAUGACUUUCGAGUAAGAUUAGUUCACUUUCCGGGAUGAAGAUAUUCUAUUCCUUGACUUUCUGGUGUAGCUGACUAAACCUAUUCUUUGACUCCCCAGGAACAACUAACUAAAGAAGAGAAGCUAAGCAACAAACUCAUUACUAACGCUACUCGUGCGCUGGUCGGCAAAAUCCAAUAGAAAGUGAAGCAGCAAUGAAAGUAGAAGUAGGAAAUGCAAAACCCAAGCCGGGUAGAAGUAGGAAAUGCAAAACCCAAGCCGGGCCUUAGUGAGUUAGCCGUAGCGCAAGCAAGGGAACAAGAAAGAUAUAUGGAGAAAUGCAUAAGAAGGACUUUCUUAGUGGAAAUGA